GGGGGGGGGGGGGGGGGGGGGGGGGGCGGGCGGGGGGAGGGGACGGGUCGGGGUUGGGGGCGGGCGGGGGGGUGACGGGUGGGAACGGGCGUUGUGGUUCGGGAUAACUCAGGGGGCCUUGUGCUAGUACCGAAUGUGCCCUUCGGGGGAAAGAUUUAUCGCCAUUAGAGCGGCCCGCGUCUGAUUAGCUAGUUGGUGAGUUAACGGCUCACCCAGGCGACGAUCAGUAGCUGGUCUGAGAGGAUGACCAGCCACACUGGGACUGAGACACGGCCCAGACUCCCACGGGAGGCAGCAGUGGGGAAUCUUGCGCAAUGGGCGAAAGCCUGACGCAGCCAUGCCGCGUGAAUGAUGAAGGUCUUAGGAUUGUAAAAUUCUUUCACCGGGGACGAUAAUGACGGUACCCGGAGAAGAAGCCCCGGCUAACUUCGUG
rnacentral:rRNA from 1 species